rnacentral:rRNA from 1 species
UACGAAGGGUGCUAGCGUUGUUCGGAAUCACUGGGCGUAAAGCGCACGUAGGCGGAUGUGUCAGUCAGGGGUGAAAUCCCGGAGCUCAACUUCGGAACUGCCUUUGAUACAGCACGUCUUGAGUCCGGAAGAGGUGGGUGGAAUUCCUAGUGUAGAGGUGAAAUUCGUAGAUAUUAGGAAGAACACCGGUGGCGAAGGCGGCCAUCUGGCUCGGUACUGACGCUCAGGCGCGAAAGCGUGGGGAGCAAACAGG